CAUCACUGUGAUCAUCACCACCAGAUAUCCACUACCUCCUUUCGCCGAUUCCUCCCACAUGCUUUCACUGAUUCCUCCCAUCGUUCUCAUACCGUUGCACCAGUCGGAGUUCCGCCUUCACAAUGAACAGGUUGUUAAUUUGGACAUCCAAUCCCAAAUGUGUGGGUUUGGUAAAAUUUGCAAGUUGGUAAAAAUGAGUGCUGGAUA